UCCGUAGGUGAACCUGCGGAAGGAUCAUUACCGAGUGAGGGCCCUUUGGGUCCAACCUCCCACCCGUGUUUAUUUACCUUGUUGCUUCGGCGGGCCCGCCUUUACUGGCCGCCGGGGGGCUCACGCCCCCGGGUCCGCGCCCGCCGAAGACACCCUCGAACUCUGUCUGAAGAUUGAAGUCUGAGUGAAAAUAUAAAUUAUUUAAAACUUUCAACAACGGAUCUCUUGGUUCCGGCAUCGAUGAAGAACGCAGCGAAAUGCGAUACGUAAUGUGAAUUGCAAAUUCAGUGAAUCAUCGAGUCUUUGAACGCACAUUGCGCCCCCUGGUAUUCCGGGGGGCAUGCCUGUCCGAGCGUCAUUGCUGCCCUCAAGCCCGGCUUGUGUGUUGGGCCCCGUCCUCCGAUUCCGGGGGACGGGCCCGAAAGGCAGCGGCGGCACCGCGUCCGGUCCUCGAGCGUAUGGGGCUUUGUCACCCGCUCCGUAGGCCCGGCCGGCGCUUGCCGAUCAACCCAAAUUUUUAUCCAGGUUGACCUCGGAUCAGGUAGGGAUACCCGCUGAACUUAA
rnacentral:rRNA from 1 species